rnacentral:ncRNA from 1 species
AAAUUCAAACUUAAAAUCAAGUUUGUCAUUAGGGAGAGUUAAUACAUAUGUUUUUGUUCUGUUAUAAUAUGAAUUAUUAAAAUUAAUAUUUAAUUUUUUAUACCGAUGUAUUUAAUAAGUUUUAUUAUGGCUUUUUCGUUAAGUUUACUAUUUGUUAUACAGAUAUUUUCAUAGAAUGUUUAUUUUUGGUAAAAAAAAUUAUAUAUUUUUUAAUUUUUUAUAUAGAUAUAAGUUUUAUAACUGAUAAAAUUUGUGCCAGCAAUCGCGGUUACACAAAUAGUUAAAUUUAACGUUUUCGGUUAUUAAUUAAAUUGUUUUUAUUUAUUUAAUAAUUAAAAAUUUUAGGUGAAAUUUAAUUUUUAAUUUAAUAUAUUAUUUUAUAAUUGAAGUUGAUAAAUUUUGAUAAGAGACUAGGAUUAGAUACCCUAUUAUUCAAAAUGUAAAUUAAAAUUCUAUAUUAUUAUAAGUUAUGUUCUUUAAAAUAAAAAAAUUUGGCGGUAUUUUAUUCUUAUCAGAGGAACCUGUUUAUUAAUUGAUGAUCCACGAUUUAUCUUACUUUUUCUUUAAAUUUGUAUAUCGUUGUUUAUGAAGAUUUUGAGAGGAUUUAAAUUUUCACAAUUUAUUUUAUAAGUUAAUUCAAAUCAAGAUGCAGUUAAUGAAAAAGCUUAAAUGGGUUACAAUAAAUUUAUUUUUUGGAUUAUUAAAUGAAAUUUUAAUUUGAAAUUGGAUUUGAAAGUAAAUUUUUUUAAAUUUUUAAAUUGAAUAAGUUCUAAAAUGUGCACAUAUUGCCCGUCACUUUCAUAUAUUUGGAAUAAGUCGUAACAUAGUAGGUGUACUGGAAAGUGUACCUGGGAAGAU